rnacentral:ncRNA from 1 species
AUAUCAUGAAGAGCGGCGAGAGGGACCUGGCCCGAUGACCGUCCGGCAACCUGUGGAUCACAAGGUGCCAAUUCCAGCCCGCAAGAGGGGAAACAUGCGGC